rnacentral:rRNA from 1 species
CGCAACGCGCAGAACCUUACCCAGGUUUGACAUCCCGUGCCACGCUCAGAGAUGGGCGGUCCCCGCAAGGGGCGCGGAGACAGGUGCUGCAUGGCUGUCGUCAGCUCGUGUCGUGAGAUGUUGGGUUAAGUCCCGCAACGAGCGCAACCCUCUCCUUUAGUUGCCAUCAUUCAGUUGGGCACUCUAAAGGGACCGCCGGCGACAAGCCGGAGGAAGGUGGGGAUGACGUCAAGUCCUCAUGGCCCUUACACCCUGGGCUACACACGUGCUACAAUGGCGGUGACAGUGGGCAGCUACCACGCGAGUGGAAGCGAAUCCCCAAAAACCGUCCCAGUUCAGAUUGCACUCUGCAACUCGAGUGCAUGAAGGCGGAAUCGCUAGUAAUCGCAGAACAGCAGGCUGCGGUGAAUACGUUCCCGGGCCUUGUACACACCGCCCGUCACACCAUGGGAGUUGGUUCUACCUGAAGACGGUGCGCUAACCGCAAGGAGGCAGCCGGCCACGGUAGGGUCAGCGACUGGGGUG